rnacentral:rRNA from 1 species
GACGAACGCUGGCGGCGUGCUUAACACAUGCAAGUCGAGCGGAGCGGCGAACGGGUGAGUAACGCGUGAGUAACUGCCCCCCUCUCUGGGAUAAAAGUUGGAAACGGCUGCUCAUACCGGAUAGUGGGGGAUGAAGCGCGUCCUAUCUGCUUGUUGUCGGAGUAGUGGCCUACCAAGGCGACGACGGGUAGCCGGCCUGAGAGGGCGACCGGCCACAUUGGGGUGAGUUACUGCCCAAACUCCUACGGGAGGCAGCAGUGGGGAAUAUUGCACAAUGGGGGAAACCCUGAUGCAGCACCGCCGGGUGGGGGAUGGCGGCCGUCGUGUUGUAAACCGCUUUCAGCCAUGACGCGGUAGUGGCAGAAGAAGCACCGGCUAACUACGUGCCAGCAGCCGCGGUAAUUC